GCCUUUUGGGAGCUCACUGGUUUCAGGUUCUAUCGGAACUUCGAAGUUAAGCGAGUUCGUGCGAGAGCAAUCCCAGGAUGGGUGACCUAUUGGGAAGUUCUCGUGUAUGUCCCAGAAACAAAAUUGUGAGGGCGUGGUCGAGGCCCAAAGCAGACAAUAUCGUGCUACGGCGGAGUCGGGCCCGGGAAGUGGUCAAGCCCGAGGCAGGAUGUGACAGGUUGGUAUUAGAGACAAUCCCUGGCCGGAAGUGUGCCGACGAUGACGUCGGGCCCCUAAGGGGGGUGGAUUGUAACAUCCUACAUCGCCCAAAUGAGUGGAUCCUAUAAGCCUUAUAUGUAUAUUCCCAUCUCUACCUAACACGAGGUUUUUUGGGAGUUCACUGGCUUCGGGUUCCAUCGGAACUCCGAAGUUAAGCGAGUUCGUGCGAGAGCAAUCCUAGGAUGGGUGACCCACUGGAAAGUUCUUGUGUGAGUUCCC
rnacentral:sRNA from 1 species